CUUAAAUUAAAUUAAACCAUAUAGAAAAGUUACUUGAUUAUGUGGUCUCCCUCCUUGUCACCUCCUCUCGAGCCAGGUUGUGACAAAUGGGGGCUCGUCCAAAAUUUGUUUGCUGAGUUGUCUAAUACUGAGUAGAAGACUGUUAGCAUUUAGCUAUUAGGUAAAGUCUCUGGCUUGCCUUUAGAGGAGGAGGAGAGUAUUAGAUUUGGGAGGCCUCAGUCUAUAAUUUUGUUGUGAUUAAGAGCAGUUUGUCUGUCUAGGCAUAGGUUGGUGAAUGUUUUCCUGAGCUGCUAUUGGGGAGUUGAGGGCUGGUAAAUAAUUUGGAACCCUUAUUCCUGUUAGGCAUAAGCAAUGUGACACACUGGCUGUCUCUAUUGAUCUUUUUUAUUUUUGUUUGUUAUUUUUGUGCAGUAAGUGGUUAGAGCAUUGCUCGGGGCACUUCUAGGACUGUCUAGGUGAUUUUCAGCAUGCUGGAAGUUAACCGGGUUGCUGGUUUUUGUGCUUAAUCCAUCCCGCCGCAAUCCUGCAUGAAGACUAGGGUUGAGUGAGUUCUCAUGAAAAGAUAAAAAUUAAAACGUGUAUGUAAAAGGUGAGAAGAGAGGGCAUUUGGGAGUUAAGAAAAAGUACCGUCACAUUUUACGUUACUGCUUUUGGCCUUGUCUUAAGCGUGAUGUGGCAGCUUACAUUAAGACUUGCCAUACAUGUCAGGUAACGGGUAAACCAAAUCAGUCUAAGCCUGCCCCACUUGAUCCAAUCCCUGCAGUGGACCACCCAUUUGAACACUUGAUCAUAGACUGUGUUGGGCCUUUGCCAAAGGCUGAGUAUCUGUUGAUCUGUAAAUCUUGAGUUCUCGGAUUCCUCUUCCUCAGAAGCAUGUCCCGUUUUGACUGGUACAGUGGCGCAGUCAGCAUUUAGUGGGGGGGAAGCAGUGAUGAUGCUUUACGGCGGGGGCGUUUGAAGAACUCUGACUUCAGAAGUUGGAUAUUUUGUUGGCUCACUUGAUUGUGGCAAAGCAUUCAGAGUUGGUGGAACUGAUGAGAAGUUAUCAUCCCUAUUUUCGGACACUCCUUCAAAAACAAAUCUUAUUGAUCAUGAUAUUGACGUGAGCGACGGAAAACCAAUUUGUCAACGACAACUGGACAUCCGCCAUAUUAAGGGCAAAGAUAAUGUUAUGAAACAUGCGGACAAGGGCAGAAGAGUGAAUAAAGUCUCACCUGGAUUCAUCGUCCCUGGCGAUCAGCAGAGACAUGUGAUUAGAGAGCGAGGCCGUCCUCAGGUUCUCCACCGCCCUAUCAGGACACAGGACGGUGACGUCACCAGCUGGUGUGCAGUGCAAACUACACCCACCGUCCAGAGCUGCCAGCCCACCGGCGAUCACUCGCUUGAUGUAGAUGCCAAACUCUUCUCCGGUCAGAUCUCUGUAACCUCCAAUUAUCUUCACACCUGAUCACACACCAGCUCAGCUCUACUCAGAGGUCAUAAAGGUCGGGGGGGGGGGGUGCUCACCGAGUCCCUUCUUGCAGUCGCAGAACUCCAGCCUCUGUACGCCUCGGUUGAUGCCAUGCGGGCCCAUGAUGGUCCUGCAACAAGCAAAGACACAGCAGAUUCAGAAACGUCCUCCUCCUCCCCGUCCUCCGCUCGGCUGCACAAAAUAAUCAAAUCAUCGCAGGAUUGUGUCAUUUCCUCCCUCCUCCAAUCCAAACCAAUGAAAUCUGUCGCCUCUUAAAAGGGGACCGCGGUUGAAACCAUGCAGUGACCUCGAUGUCAAGAAGCCCCAACAAACAAGGGAUUAUAAAUAAUCAAAGGAGCAUUACAAAGCAGUUAUUAAUCCCCGACAGUCCCUGGUGCUGCUGCCUGCUGGUCCGGUCCCGAGGCUCAGCGCACCGUCACGGCAGAGCUAGUUUCAGACGCUUACGUGUCAAAGGGUUUCUGCAGAGACAGCAUUUAUUGUCAUGGAUAGACUUUACUACGCAGGGCAGGGACCAGAGAUUUUUUUGGGGAGAGUUUAAUUCCCCCCCUCCCUUACAACAAAUACGAAUUUUUAUUAAUGCAAUUUUAUUGUUUUUGCACUAUUUUUUUAUUAGGAUAUUUUGCAAAUUAUAAUUGACUUUCACUAAAUGAAGAUAACAGCAAAUGUAAAUCAUAAAAUGUUUUUUAUUUGUAUCAUGCUGAGAAAACUGGGUUGACUACGUAACGCCCCACAGAACAGAUUUUAUUUUUGCUCAUUCUUUUGUCAAUUCUCAAUGUUGUUUUAUAAAGAAAUCUUUGUUUGUCACAAAUCUUGAAAUAGGGCAUGUAUGCAUUAAAUAUU